GGGAAAUCAAAGCCUGGGUAAGUGCUGGAACCCCUGAGUCUCUCACUGCUUGGAGACGGGGUUUUAAAGGUUUAAGACAUGUGUUUGGAAAGUCCAGGACAUGUUGGCUUUCCUGCUAAGAAGAAAUGGAACACGUAUGUUGCUACCUGGCUCUGAAACAUGAGCAGAUGAGGGCAACAAAGAUGGCAAAGGGCCUGGAGACUCAGUCCAGUGCAGAAACGUAGAAGGAGCUGGGUUUGUUUAGCCUGGAAAAGAGAUGAUGAAGAGGUGAUAUGGCAGUCAUCUUCAAACAUCUGAAGGACUGGCAGACAGAACAGAGGUAGCUAACCUUCUUGGGGUUUCAUUAUGGCCAAGUCUCUGGAUGCUACAUGUAAAAGCUCUCAAGGCUGCCUUCCAGAAGGUGCUGCUGUUUUAAUUUAUGUUAUCAUACAUUAUUAAAUUCAGUAAUAUAGACAUGGACAAAUUUGGAGGGGGGGGGGAAGGUCUUGCUUUUUGGCAUCACAAUAACAAGGGACCUGCAGGAGCAGUCAGUAAAAUAUAUACCGUAUUUUUUGCACCAAAACACUCACUUUUUUCCUCCUAGAAAGUAAGGGGAAAUGUCUGUGCGUGUUAUGGAGGGAAUGCCUACGGGUGGCGGGGGGAUCUGCUGCAGUCGUGAGCAGAGGAUCCAUGGUUCCCCUUCCUUCCCUCCUCCGUGGCUCGCUUUGAAACAGCAAAGCGGGAGAAGAGCCGCAGAGUGGGGAGGAGAGAGGGACAGAGAGCCUACUUCUAUAAAGGAGCAAAGCGGGAGGGGAGAGGAGCCUUCUCCCCUUAUACCCCUCUUCUUCAUUAUUAGCAGCAUCCUUCUCCACCCACCCCACGCGUGCUUCUUCUCCCCUUAAACCCCUCUUCUGCAUUAUUAGCAGCAUCCUUCUCCACACACCCCACGUGUGUUCCUUGUCCCUUGAGUGCUUUUCCUUCCUUCCCCACUUAAAACGUGGUUACAAAGCAUGGAUCCACAUGGAUCCUCAGGAUUUUUGCAUUGGGCUACUCCAAACUCACUGUCAGAUCACAUGUCUGUGGCCACAGCAUGAACCACAAAAAUCAUAUAUCCACUGUUUCGUUUAGAAUAUUUUUUUUCUUGUUUUCCUCCUCUAAAACUACAUGCGUGUUAUGGUCUGGUGCGUGUUAUAGAGCGAAAAAUACGGUAUAUAUGUGGCAUGGCAUGGCAUGGCAGUAUCACAGCAGAGGACCCACAGGGGUGAAGGGAUUUCUGUGCCCAAUAGGAUUUUUGUGUGUGAUGUUUGAUUUUAAAAUGGCAAACACAUUGAGAGUCCUCCCUGCUUUAAUUUGCAAUGUGGCCCUCAUGACUAAUGGCUCUCUCCUCCCUAAAAGCUUAAUUUCCUUCUCAACUUACUUCUGCAUAAACAUGCAGAUGAUUAGGUUCUACUGGAGGUAAUGAUAUUGUAACAGUACACUUCCUUUUUUCCUUUCCUGUUACCUAUGUCAGUUCAUUUUUCCACUACAGAUUCUUAAUGAAGAACAGUGCAAGUGACAAUGCUGAUUUGGCUAACUUGCAUUUCCUUACACUAAUUCCCCCCCCCCCCCCUCCAGGCCAGUGCAGUAAUAGCCCCUGAGGAACUGAACCUUUUCCUUGGAACAACAGCACCAACAAGCAACAAUGCUUAAUCAAAGCACGUGCCAGGCAUUGCUGCUUUUGGAGACCCUCCCACAAAUAUUUCAGACUCCCAUGGAGCUGUUUGCCAUGUAGCAAACACAAUAGGGUAACUUAUCCCCAAGAAUGUACAUGGACACUGAAUUUCCAUCCUUGGAGCAGACAUGGAAUUUAUACCUAAACCAUCUUCAUUUCAGAAUAAUCCAAGGAAGAUUUGCAAAUUAUCCAGGCCUCAUAGAAUGCAAACCUGAGGAGGGAAGGAGGAAUUUCCUUCAGGUCACAACAGCAAGGAGAAUAACAAUGCUUUCUUGUAGCUUCAUAAAUCCUCUCCUUGCCAGUUGAUUAAAACAGUACUGCUUCUUCCUCCUCAGUUCUCUCUGUUGUAGC
rnacentral:lncRNA from 1 species